rnacentral:tmRNA from 1 species
GGGGCUGUAAAGCUUGACAUUUGGACAUUUACAAGUUGGUGCCAGCAGGUCGGGUCGUCUGAACGUUAUCCGGACAAAUUAAUAGAUGCAAAAGUAUCUGAUCGUGUAGCUGGUCUUAGCUCUGCAUUCGUAGAUUCUCUACGUAGCGCAUUUGCUAACCCAGUUGCCACUGUAGCCUAAUUUGGUUACGACUGAUUAUCUGACAUCAGAUAAGAGAAGUCAGUCUUAUAUUUUCUGAUUGCUUAGGUUGUAUGACCCAUAUAACCUACUAAGAUUUAGGGUUGCAGUGUUUGAUGUUUUUGCUUGCCUACAUUAUCAAAUACUAAAGAAACCUUUUGAGACAAGAUAAACCUGUAGAAAGCCAAUGAGUAACCGAAUGGACGCGGGAUCAUACUCGCCAGCUCCACCA